AGGAAAAGAAACCAACAGGGAUUGCCCCAGUAACGGCGAGUGAAGCGGCAACAGCUCAGAUUUGGAAUCUGGCCUUCGGGCCCGAGUUGUAAUCUGGAGAGGAUGCUUCUGGCGCGGUGCCUUCCGAGUUCCCUGGAACGGGACGCCGGAGAGGGUGAGAGCCCCGUACGGUUGGACACCUAGCCUCUGUGAAGCUCCUUCGACGAGUCGAGUAGUUUGGGAAUGCUGCUCAAAAUGGGAGGUAAAUUUCUUCUAAAGCUAAAUAUUGGCCAGAGACCGAUAGCGCACAAGUAGAGUGAUCGAAAGAUGAAAAGCACUUUGAAAA
rnacentral:rRNA from 1 species